UACGGAGGGUGCAAGCGUUAUCCGGAUUACUGGGUUUAAAGGGUGCGUAGGUGGGCAGGUAAGUCAGUGGUGAAAUCUCCGAGCUUAACUCGGAAACUGCCAUUGAUACUAUCUGUCUUGAAUUAUCUGGAGGUGAGCGGAAUAUGUCAUGUAGCGGUGAAAUGCUUAGAUAUGACAUAGAACACCAAUUGCGAAGGCAGCUCACUACGGAUAUAUUGACACUGAGGCACGAAAGCGUGGGGAUCAAACAGG
rnacentral:rRNA from 1 species